rnacentral:lncRNA from 1 species
AUUGUUGACAGUCCUGGGCUGCGAUGCUCUCUUUUCACUGCAAGGGACUUUAGAAAAAAAUCACCUUGGUCAAAGAUUUCAAUCCAAACCGAGAGAAAAUGCUUUUGUUUGCCUUGGGGGUGCUCAACAAAAAUGCUUCGGAGAGGAUGUCUGGAUGUCAAGUCCAAAGACUGAAUCCUACGGAAACAAAUUACUGGUCUUCGGUGUCAACACGAGAAUAUCAAAUGCAAGUGGAGGAAAAUUGUAUUGGAUUGUGGAGGUGAUGGCAAAUCAAUGACACGGAAAAUCUAUGGAGAGCAGUUCAUAGUGACACAAGAAAGCAGUGUCCGCAUAAAUCAGGGGAGACCAAUGGACACUGAAAGGGAAUUUCCAUGCAAGAUUAAGUGGACAUUGUUAUCGUGUCAGGACUGUGUGAAAUAAGUGCGAAAUGAGGACGAUACUGGGAUACCAACACUUAGACCAAGCAAUGUCAACAGAAAUUACUCUCUCAUUAAAGGAAAACAAAAGGCUAAUGGCCUAGCUCAGUUACAACCUCUGUCAGCAGCAGUAGCAGCUGCUGGGGUAGCUGAUGGGUCAGGGCAAUGGAUCAGGGCCCUGCUGCGUUUGGUGCUAAGCAAAUACGUGCCUACACUGUAGUCCUGGCCUGAAAGCUGACAAGGAUGUGCAAGAGAUGUCCGUAAAGGCGACAUGGCAGCAUAUGAAGAGCUUGCAUGUACCCCGAGCUCCUGCCUGACAAGCAGGGGUGGAAUAAGCCCUGCUGCAAGUGCUGCUGUUCUGGAAACACCUCCCCAGCAAGGCAGGCCUUCAGCCCACCCAGCAGAGCUGGGCCUCAGGGAAGGCUGCGGGAAUUUUACCACCAGUUUGGUGGUAAAUGGGAUCAGGCCUCAUAUCCACAAAGCAGUGCAGUUUUGGUGGCUGUUGUUCAUAGACACCCUGACAAAGCAGGAGGAGAUAUGGAGAGGAACUACAACAUGGAGAGGAACUACAUGA